AUUGAACGCUGGCGGCAUGCCUUACACAUGCAAGCCGAACGGCAGCACGGGAGCAAUCCUGGUGGCGAGUGGCGAACGGGUGAGUAAUAUAUCGGAACGUGCCCAGUCGUGGGGGAUAACGCAGCGAAAGCUGUGCUAAUACCGCAUACGAUCUAUGGAUGAAAGCGGGGGAUCGCAAGACCUCGCGCGAUUGGAGUGGCCGAUAUCAGAUUAGGUAGUUGGUGGGGUAAAGGCUCACCAAGCCGACGAUCUGUAGCUGGUCUGAGAGGACGACCAGCCACACUGGAACUGAGACACGGUCCAGACUCCUACGGGAGGCAGCAGUGGGGAAUUUUGGACAAUGGGCGCAAGCCUGAUCCAGCAAUGCCGCGUGCAGGAUGAAGGCCUUCGGGUUGUAAACUGCUUUUGUACGGAGCGAAACGGUCUACUCUAAUACAGUGGGCUAAUGACGGUACCGUAAGAAUAAGCACCGGCUAACUACGUGCCAGCCGCCACCGUAA
rnacentral:rRNA from 1 species